rnacentral:lncRNA from 1 species
UCUGUCUUUAUUAAAGAGGAGGAGCAACACUGCAAGAGAAGAUCUCUCCUAGAUUAAGAGUUUUAAUUAUGCUAAUGUGGUUUGAUGGUAUAUGCUUCAUAACAUCCUUUAAAAUAUUUUAUUGAAGAUAAUUUUAUGCAUUGCAUAAAAGCAUACAUUGUUUUACUAUAUAUACAGUAUAAAGUUAGACUAGUUAAAAUACAAGAGAAAAUUAUAGUCAGUCUGUAGCUGUUUUAACUAAUGACUUAAUAUGCCAUAAAUGAUUUGAACAGUAAGUAUUGUCCACAUUAAAUUUCAUUGUUGGCUCUUUUUACAAAAAUUAUUUUAAGGAUGAAUUUCAUGAUUUUUGUCUACGUCCAAGGAUGUUUCCCAAACUUGCUCUCAUUUGUAGGUGGGUUGAGAGUUUUUCUGGUAAUCAAUACCAGUUCGGGCCAAGGAAGAAGAAAUCAAGGAGGUGAAAAUCAAAGUCCCCAGGACAUCCUGCAGUGACAGGGUGACUGGUUUCUGAACAGACAUAAGCUGAGAUUUAAAUUAGUUUUGCAAAAACUACUUGCUUUCAGCAAGCAACAAGCCCUAGCCCAUUGGAAGAUUAACAGAGAUGGUAGUACCUGCCAAUGCCUUUGUGUGAAUGGUGUAUCUCUCACGGUGUCACGCAACAGUCCCAGGGAAGACAGACUGAAUCACCCAGAUCACGUACAGCCCAUCAGUGUGUGGCUUGGAGGCAGCUGGGAAUGUGAGCAACCCAGGGAAACAGCUGAGAGUGAAGUCAAAGGCAUAGGGGCUUUGAGCUGGGAGGGAAAUGGAUGACUACCUGCACUGCUGGAGGACCACCAAGCGGAUAAGAAAGCUACCAAGGAUUUCCAGGAUAAACUGGCAAUGAACCAACCUGCAGGCAUUCAGCUGGUCUUCAACUUGUGGACCAAGGUCAGUGGAUGGAAGCCAAACAACUCUGAAUGGCUCUGGAAUUUGCCAUGUUACUUUAUUUUUUUGUUGUAGUAGUGCAGCAGAAGAGGAAGCAGGUGCUAGCAAGGAAGAUGGGCGCAGAUCACUGAGCCCAGUAACUUCAGCUCUGCAUCUUGCUGGGAGCAGUGGUUCUGGCAUGGCUCAUUACAAAGCACGGAGAAUUAAAGAAUAAAUUCAGUUUGUGAAACCGGUGAAAUAAAUCG